GUCUGGCCUGCCCUGUGACACAUGUUUAACGGCCGCGGUAUCUUGACCGUGCGAAGGUAGCGCAAUCACUUGUCUUUUAAAUGGGGACCUGUAUGAAUGGCACAACGAGGGCUUGACUGUCUCCUUUUUCCUGUCAAUGAAAUUGAUCUCCCCGUGCAGAAGCGGGGAUGCUCCCAUAAGACGAGAAGACCCUGUGGAGCUUUAGACACCAAGGCAGCCCCCGUUAAAAAGGCUCACCCGCCUAUAAACCUCCCCUGCUUUACUGUCUUUGGUUGGGGCGACCGCGGAGAACUUAAAAACCUCCAUGUGGACCGAGAGCAUUUACUCAGAACUAAGGGUGACAACCCUAAGGACCAGAACAUCUGACCAAACAUGAUCCGGCAAUGCCGAUCAACGAACCGAGUUACCCCAGGGAUAACAGCGCAAUCCUCUUUUAGAGCCCAUAUCGACAAGAGGGUUUACGACCUCGAUGUUGGAUCAGGACAUCCUAAUGGUGCAGCCGCUAUUAAGGGUUCGUUUGUUCAACGAUUAAAG
rnacentral:rRNA from 1 species